rnacentral:rRNA from 1 species
GCGCGAAAACUUUACAAUGCUGGCAACAGCGAUAAGGGAACCUCGAGUGCCAGGCUACAAAUCUGGCUGUCGAGAUGCCUAAAAAGCAUUUCAUAGCAAGGGCCGGGCAAGACCGGUGCCAGCCGCCGCGGUAACACCGGCGGCUCGAGUGGUAACCGUUAUUAUUGGGUCUAAAGGGUCUGUAGCCGGCCGGAUAAGUCUCUUGAGAAAUCUGGCAGCUUAACUGUCAGGCUUUCAGGAGAUACUGUCUGGCUCGAGGCCGGGAGAGGUGAGAGUUACUUCAGGGGUAGUGGUGAAAUCUUGUAAUCCUUGAAGGACCACCAGUGGCGAAGGCGUCUCACCAGAACGGACCUGACUGCAAGGGACGAAAGCUAGGUGCACGAACC